GAUGAACGCUGGCGGCGUGCUUAACACAUGCAAGUCGAACGAAGCACUUUUGAUUCUUCGGAAGAGGAAGUGACUGAGUGGCGGACGGGUGAGUAACGCGUGGGUAACCUGCCUUAUACAGGGGGAUAACAGUUAGAAAUGACUGCUAAUACCGCAUAAGCCGAUAGAGUCGCAUGACUUAGUCGGAAAAGAUUUAUCGGUAUAAGAUGGACCCGCGUCUGAUUAGCUAGUUGGUGAGGUAAUGGCCCACCAAGGCGACGAUCAGUAGCCGGCUUGAGAGAGUGAACGGCCACAUUGGGACUGAGAACCGGGCCAAACUCCUACGGGAAGCAGCAGUGGGGAAUAUUGCACAAUGGGGGAAACCCUGAUGCAGCAACGCCGCGUGAAGGAAGAAGUAUUUCGGUAUGUAAACUUCUAUCAGCAGGGAAGAAAAUGACGGUACCUGACUAAGAAGCCCCGGCUAACUACGUGCCAGCAGCCGCCGUAAGAC
rnacentral:rRNA from 1 species